AACGCACAUUGCGCCCGCCAGCAUCCUGGCGGGCAUGCCUGUUCGAGCGUCAUUACCACCCUCAGGCCCUGCCUGGUGUUGGGGGACUGCGCCCGCAGCCCCCGAAAGACAGCGGCGGUCCCGGCCCAGCCCCGAGCGUAGUAGCAUACCUCGCUCCGGGCGCUGGGCGGGCUCGGCCGUGAGCCUCUUAUACGUACGGUUGACCUCGGAUCAGGUAGGAAUACCCGCUGAACUUAA
rnacentral:misc_RNA from 1 species